rnacentral:misc_RNA from 1 species
GAUGAAGAACGCAGCGAAAUGCGAUAAGUAAUGUGAAUUGCAGAAUUCAGUGAAUCAUCGAAUCUUUGAACGCACAUUGCGCCCGCCAGUAUUCUGGCGGGCAUGCCUGUUCGAGCGUCAUUUCAACCAUCAAGCCCCCGGCUUGUGUUGGGGACCUGCGGCUGCCGCAGGCCCUGAAAAGCAGUGGCGGCCUCGCUGUCACACCGAGCGUAGUAGCAUACAUCUCGCUCUGGGCGUGCUGCGGGUUCCGGCCGUUAAACCACCUUCAUAACCCAAGGUUGACCUCGGAUCAGGUAGGAAGACCCGCUGAACUUAAGCAUAUCAAUAAGCGGAGGA